GGGCCCGCACAAGCGGUGGAGCAUGUGGUUUAAUUCGAUGCAACGCGAAGAACCUUACCAGGGCUUGACAUACUGCGAAUCUCCUUGAAAGAGGAGAGUGCCUUCGGGAAUGCAGAUACAGGUGGUGCAUGGCUGUCGUCAGCUCGUGUCGUGAGAUGUUGGGUUAAGUCCCGCAACGAGCGCAACCCUUGUUUUUAGUUACCAAUUCGUUGGGCUUUCUAGAAAGACUGCCGGUGACAAACCGGAGGAAGGUGAGGAUGACGUCAAGUCAGCAUGCCCCUUAUGUCCUGGGCUACACACGUGCUACAAUGGCUAGGACAAAGAGUCGCAAGUUUGCGAAAACAAGCUAAUCUCAUAAACCUAGCCUAAGUUCAGAUUGUAGGCUGCAACUCGCCUACAUG
rnacentral:rRNA from 1 species